UUUUUUCUCGAUCAAGGAAUUGAAUGAGGUUAGAGGAAUCCCGAUGACCAUAGGGUAAAAGGAACUAGUACAAAGGGUCUUUUGAAACACUUUCGUGCACUAAGUUCCCAGCCAAGGAUAAUUUCAGGUUUGCCAGUGUUGACCAGAGUUAGUAAAUGGCAAGUUUAGAAGACAUUACCAGGAAGUAAGAUUGGAGAGAUGACUAGAUUCGUGGUGAGCAAAGCUAAGCAGCUGUGAAAGGGACUGGUUGGGUGUGACACCGUAAUAAAGGUGACUAGAAACUUCUUACUAGAGAUUGGUUCGUUUCAAUGUCUUGAGUUGAUUCAUUCCAGUAUUAUGGAUGUAGUUUUAAAGUAAAUGAGGUUGA